AAUGUGAAACAAUAGGACUGUAAAUAGAAUGCUCUGAGAACAUAGAGGAGAGACUUUUUUCUCCUGGAAGGUCUGUGGAAAAUUCUCAGAAGCAGCAGCAUCGCCAAUUAACCUGGAAGGAGGAACAGGAUUUUGCUGUAUCAUUUAAGAAUGAUCUUAAUGAUCUCUUAGCAGUGAGAAGAAAGUGUUUCGUCCAUCUGGGUUGGCCCUGGAAAUCAAGCCUGCGUUCCUUGAAGUGAUGAUGAGGCUCAGUAUAAAGAAAACAUGGAACUCAGACUGUUGCUGGCAGCCUUCACGACUAUGAGCAGAAUCAGACGGAUCAUGAUGUUGAUGCUAUAAGCAGUGGAUUGGGAAGAUGUAAAGUGCAAGGAAACAGGAUAAUAUUGUUGAACCACAAAUUAACAAAUGGUGAAGCCUGACUCACCUCUGAAAGUUAUACAUACUUUGACUGUUUCAGGCUGGUUGAGUUGGAAUUUCUGUUGCUUUCACCCAAGAGCAUCUUAACUGAUGUAUUCUGUGUUCCUUAUCAGGGAGAAUGAUCACCAAAGUGGAACAAAUAGAACACAUACGAAUAGGUGAAAAUUAAGGCUUUGGAUACCUCAGGGUGACAGUAUUAGGGAAUCCAGCCCUUUGGCAUGAGUUCAAGUUCUAGUGCAUUUUGGAGUAUGGACAUAAUUUACUGAUGUGAUACCAAAAAUAUAACGCUAGUAUAGUCCUAGAACUACUGCAGAAAAUCUUAGAAAUCUUAGAGACCAAAAUAGGUAUAGAUUCUAGAAAUUAAAGAUGCUGUGUAUCUAGAACGAACAAUAAAUCAGAUGAUGUGUGUGCUUCUAAAAUGGAG
rnacentral:lncRNA from 1 species